GACGAACGCUGGCGGCGUGCUUAACACAUGCAAGUCGAACGAAGUGGCGAACGGGUGAGUAACGCGUAAUCAACCUGCCCUUCAGAGGGGGAUAACAGUUGGAAACGACUGCUAAUACCGCAUACUGAAGGAGGGGAUUGCGUCUGAUUAGCUAGUUGGAGGGGUAACGGCCCACCAAGGCGAUGAUCAGUAACCGGUCUGGGAGGAUGAACGGCCAAAUUGGGACUGGGGCAAGGCCCCAACUCCUACGGGAGGGAGCAGGGGGGAAACUUCCGAAAUGGACGGAAGUCUGAAGGAGCAACGCCGGGGGAGUGAUGACGGCCUUCGGGUUGUAAAGGUCUGUUAAGCGGGACGCGGUACCGGAAUAGAAAGCCACGGCUAACUACGUGCCAGCAGCCGCGGUAAUAC
rnacentral:rRNA from 1 species